rnacentral:rRNA from 1 species
UACGUAGGGGGCAAGCGUUGUCCGGAUUUAUUGGGCGUAAAGAGCGUGUAGGCGGCUAGGUAGGUCCGUUGUGAAAACUCGAGGCUCAACCUCGAGACGCCGGUGGAAACCAUCUAGCUAGAGUCCGGAAGAGGAGAGUGGAAUUCCUGGUGUAGCGGUGAAAUGCGCAGAUAUCAGGAGGAAUACCGAUGGCGAAGGCAGGUCUCUGGGCUGACACUGACGCUCAUGCACGAAAGCGUGGGGAGCAAACAGG